rnacentral:tRNA from 1 species
AGCCAGAGUGGUUUAGUGGUUUGAGCAUUGGACUAGGACUCUGGAAACCAGGGUUCAAUUCUCCAUUUGGCUA